UCGUCCUACGGGGGGCAGCAGUGGGGAAUAUUGGGCAAUGGGCGCAAGCCUGACCCAGCAACGCCGCGUGAAGGAAGAAGGCUUCCGGGUUGUAAACUUCUUUUCUCAGGGACGAAGCAAGUGACGGUACCUGAGGAAUAAGCCACGGCUAACUACGUGCCAGCAGCCGCGGUAAUACGUAGGUGGCAAGCGUUAUCCGGAUUUACUGGGUGUAAAGGGCGCGUAGGCGGGACUGCAAGUCAGAUGUGAGAACCAUGGGCUAAACCUAUGGCC
rnacentral:rRNA from 1 species